GGAGCCGCCCACACGCCGUUCCUGAGCCUGCAGCGACACCGUGCGCUGCUCCGCCGCCUCACACGCUCCCACACUGCGCCUGUGCCUCCGCUCCGUCAUGGCCACCUCCUCUGCUUUUUCUUCCUAUCGUGGUCGAAUUUCCUUCUCUCUUUCUCUUUUGUCUUUCUCUCUUCUUCAUUUUGCUUUCUUGCUUUCUCUUCCUUCCUUAGCCUCCUCUAGUUUCUCAGUUGUCUUUUCUAUUUUUUUUUCUUUUAUGUUUUACUUCUAUUAAUUCUUUCUUCUCUUUGUCCUCAUUUUCGGCAUUGCCUUAUCAUGCCCUAUCGUUUACUCCCCUUUCUUUUAUCUUUCGAUCUUUCUUUCUUUCUUACCCCUGCUGGCCCAUCGUUCGUGGUCUCCGGCGCCGCGGUGGAGAUCAUUAAAGAUGACCGAUCUGUACUAAUUACGGACAUCAAGCGCCAGAUCGUGCUCUCAGCAAGGCGGACUCCGUUCCGCAUGUAGAGGGAGAAGCACAAAAGCAGCAGGUUGUUUAUCCUACUGAAUAAACUAAAUGCAGGUCUCUGAGGGAUCUUACGCAAACCACUUACCUUGAAACACAACCCCGCGGGAAAGUGAGCUACGGAGAGAGGCAUAGUUAAUGUUUUACAUCUUCAAAGCAGCAUCCAAGUGCCUGGCUCAGCACCAGCUACCAUCAGGCCUUCCAAACACAUCCUCAAUGAGUUUUCCUAGGUCCCAGAAUAAAGCAGAGAAUGAGCAAAACCUGCAACAGCAACAAAUCAUUUUCUGGAUUGGUCAAUGUUCUUCAAUCACUCACCACUUUCUGUCACUGACAAAUUGUCACCACAAUAUUCCUAGCAAUGAAUUAAAAUAAAUAACUCAUCAGAAAUGCCUGCAGAUCCUCUGAAUGUAUUCCUGAUAGUUGACUGCACAAAUGUUUUAUUUUUCAAUCCGUUUAACAUGAACUCGUUUGCCUUGCUUCCUGGCGCUGGAGAAGCACUCUGAAUUCCGAAUGCUGAAAUAAA
rnacentral:lncRNA from 1 species